AUGGAGGUGGAGGCGCACGAGAAGAAGGGCCACCGGGCCUUCGCCAAGGCAAUCAAGUCCUUCGGCUCGCACAGGCGUUCCAACAGCGAUCUUGACAGGAUGUGUGGCAAAGAUGCGCUCUACGCUUCAGACAAAACUUUUGUCCCGCCUAGGCAAGCGGAAGGCGUGAAGGCCAAGGUGAAGAGCGAUUUGAGUAAGGAGGUGCAGCCUGGGAGAGGAGCGCAAAGCUCCCUCAGAAAAGAGAUUCUUCAACUAGAAAAGCACCUCAAGGAUCAGCAGGUGGUGCGUGGCGCCCUGGAGAAAGCCAUGGGGCCGGACGCUGCCCCGGUCAACAACCUCUUGCACGAGAUGCCAGUGCCAAAGGCCGCCAACGAGCUGAUCCGGGAGAUCGCCACGCUGGAGCUGGAGGUCAAGAACAUGGAGCAGUACCUGCUCACCCUCUACCGGCAGGCGUUCGAGCAGCAGGCGCCUGCAUUGUCUCCCCCUGAUCGCCGGGAGGCGCUGAAGCCGUCGGUGAGCGCGCGGUGGUCCGGCCAGCUCCGGGAGGCACCCGGUGCCAGGGUCUCCUGCAAGGGCAGAGGGGAUGCCGUGCUCCGGUCCAGCUACCCGCCCCCGCCGCCGCCGCCCCGUAAGAAGUGGAAUGAUCCGUUGAUGGACUGCUCUACGUCGGCCUGCUUGGAUAGACCGAAUGACUCCGAUGCGCUCCGCUGCCAGUCCGCGUUGUCGUGCCGUGGCAUCUGUUCUUCUAGGAUAUCGCCGUCGGAGGAGAGUCUUGCCAGGGCCCUGCGCUCAUGCCACUCUCAGCCUUUCUCAUUUUUGGAGGAAGAUGCUGCUGCAGCCGGGGUGAUCAGCUUAGCAGAGUAUCUGGGCACAAAUGUAGCUGACCACAUCCCUGAAACUCCGAACAACCUCUCCGAGGAGAUGGUGAGAUGCAUGGCUGGGGUAUACUGCAAACUCGCAGAUCCUCCGUUGGUUCACCACGGCUCCUCGUCUUCCCCGACGUCAUCGUUCUCCUCAACAAGCGCGAUUUCUCCACAGUAUGUGGGGGACAUGUGGAGCCCCAAUUACAAGCGAGAGACGACGCUGGACUCCCGGUUGAUAAACCCGUUCCAUGUCGAGGGGUUGAAGGAGUUCAGUGGACCUUACAACACAAUGGUUGAGAUUCCAGCGAUUUGCCGCGAUAACCGGAGGCUAAGAGAUGUUGAGGAUCUUCUCCAGACUUACAAGUUGAUUUUGUACCGGCUGGAAACCGUUGAUCUGAGAAGGAUGACAAACGAAGAGAAGAUUGCAUUUUGGGUCAACAUACACAACGCACUGUUGAUGCAUGCUUAUCUCAGGUACGGCGUCCCACAGAACAAUCUGAAGAAGUCAUCAAUACUUGUCAAGGCCGCCUGCAAAAUCGCGGGACGCAACAUCAAUGUAGCUCUGAUCCAGAACCUGGUUCUUGGAUGCAACACGCAUUGUCCCGGACAGUGGCUACGUACUUUGCUUUACCCAAGGAUGAAAAGCAAAGCGAGCAAAGCAGGGCAUGAGUGGCAAGCCUUUGCCGUUGCGCAACCGGAGCCUCUUUUACGCUUUGCGCUUUGCUCCGGCAGCCAUUCUGAUCCCGCGGUGAGGGUGUACACCCCAAAGAGGCUGUUCCAGCAGCUGGAGGCCGCCAAGGAGGAGUUCAUCCGGGCAACGGUCGGCGUGUGGAGGGAGCACAAGAUCCUGCUGCCGAAGCUCGUGGAGGCGUACGCCAAGGACGUCAAGCUCUCGUCGCAGGGCCUCGUCGACAUGGUCCAGCGGUACCUCCCGGAGAGCCUGAGGGCGGCGAUGCAGAGGUGCCAGCAGCAGCAGGGUGGCGGCCGGUCGAGCAAGAUCGUCGAGUGGGUGCCUUACAACCUCAACUUCCGGUAUCUCAUCGCCAGGGACCUCGCGUUCCCUCACCUGAGCUGA
rnacentral:rRNA from 1 species